GCGAACGCUGGCGGCAGGCCUAAACAUGCAAGUCGAGCGCUCGUAGCAAUACGAGAGCGGCAGACGGGUGAGUAACACGUGGGAACGUACCCUUUGGUUCGGAACAACCCAGGGAAACUUGGGCUAAUACCGGAUAAGUCCGCAAGGAGAAAGAUUUAUCGCCGAAGGAUCGGCCCGCGUCUGAUUAGCUUGUUGGUGAGGUAACGGCUCACCAAGGCGACGAUCAGUAGCUGGUCUGAGAGGAUGAUCAGCCACACUGGGACUGAGACACGGCCCAGACUCCUACGGGAGGCAGCAGUUAGGAAUCUUGGACAAUGGGCGCAAGCCUGAUCCAGCCAUGCCGCGUGAGUGAUGAAGGCCUUAGGGUUGUAAAGCUCUUUCAGCGGGGAAGAUAAUGACGGUACCCGCAGAAGAAGCCCCGGCUAACUUCGUGCCAGCCGCCGCGGUAAUU
rnacentral:rRNA from 1 species